AAGAAUCCAAGCAUACAUCAAAGCAAAAGCUCUCUCAAUUUUAGUCUGUCUUAGUGUUCUAAAAAUUGCUCUUUUGUUCUGAGCACUUUUUAGUUUUUGCUACAAAUAUUGUAUUUUGAUCCAAGUAAGAUUUUAUUUCUUAUUGGAUUGUAAAGCUUGUAGGUAACAAGUGUGUAAAAAGACAAAGGUAAAAUUACUCGGUUGCAGAAAAGAUCAGGAAGAUCUAGCAAGGGGUAAUUGUUACUCGUUCUCUUUGGUUGUAAAAGCAAAGGUAGAUUUACUCGUUGCAGGAAAGAUCAGUCGGAUCUAGAAAGAGUAAAGGUUACUCAUUUGUGAAAAAAGAAAAGAGGAGUUGUGGUUAACGUUACUUAACACAACUACCUAGUGGAUAAUCUCACACUUGUGUGGGGAGUGGAAGUAGCCGGCGUUUGGCGAACCACGAUAACUUUUGUGUGUCAUUUCUCUCUCCCUACUUACUUUUGAUUUAUUGUUCAAAAUCACACUUUACACUCAUUAUUGUCAUUAUCAACUAACAAACUAAUUGUGAUUGUUAAUUUAAAAGAAAAUUUUUAUUAGACAAAUUUUAAACAGGUCACAAUUCAAACCCCCCUUUCUUGUGAAAAUAUUUUACUACA
rnacentral:lncRNA from 1 species